rnacentral:rRNA from 1 species
CCCAGACUCCUACGGGAGGCAGCAGUAAGGGAUAUUGGUCAAUGGGGGAAACCCUGAACCAGCAACGCCGCGUGAGGGAAGACGGUUUUCGGAUUGUAAACCUCUGUCCUCUGUGAAGAUGAUGACGGUAGCAGAGGAGGAAGCUCCGGCUAACUCCGUGCCAGCAGCCGCGGUAAUACGGAGGAUGCGAGCGUUAUCCGGAUUUAUUGGGUUUAAAGGGUGCGCAGGCGGCCUGUUAAGUCAGCGGUAAAAGCCGGGGGCUCAACCCCGGCGAGCCGUUGAAACUGGCGGGCUGGAGUUGGAGAGAAGUACGCGGAAUGCGCGGUGUAGCGGUGAAAUGCUUAGAUAUCGCGCAGAACCCCGAUUGCGAAGGCAGCGUACCGGCUCCACACUGACGCUGAGGCACGAAAGCGUGGGUAUCGAACAGGAUUAGAUACCCGGGUA